UAUCAACUCAAAUGUGCACAUAGUCUACUCUCUUGACUGUAGACAAUGUACAUUUUUGAGUUGACAGAGUAGAUGUUUGUUCCUGCAACUUUUAAGUUGUCUGCCUAAAUAGUGUAUUUCGACUAACGGAGGAAGAACAGCGGGCAGAACCGAGAACAUAAACCUUACCGAUUGGCCGAGAGCUUCCCGCCUCUACGCCACGCCGGUAGUGGGGGUAGGCGCUCGGCCAAUCAGGAACCAUCAUGUUCUACCCGCUAUUAUUCUUCCUCCGUUAGUCGAAAUACACUAUACUGUAUUUAGGCCUGCUGCAUCGGGCCGCCCGAGUUUUCAUCGUCAAUGUUCAUUGUCAAUGUUCAUCGUCAAUGUUCAUUGUCAAUGUUCAUUGUCAAUUUUCAUUGACAAAUCUCGUUGGUUCCCCGUUGACGUCCACUAUCCCUCCUCUGACAACUGCCGCUAGAGAGAGCCUGCUGCGAACCCCCCACCCCACCCCACCUUCCCUCUCCACCGCCUCGCCACUGAACCGCCGCCGCCGAGCCGCCGCCCGCCUGAGCUGAGAUCUCUCAGUCUGUCCAGCUCCCAGCCCCGGCAGAGCUAGUCGCCCUCUCAACCUCAACGUGCUUCGCGAUUCGUCGGUCGUGCAACUCGCCAUGCCGCCUGUCCGUCGUCAAGCUGGACCAAACCCGACGCGCUCCCUGUCCCCAACAACUCCGCCGGGCUCUGGUCCUCGCCGUCCUCGCCGUCCUCGCCGUCCUCGCCGUCCUCGCCCCGCCGCCGAGUCCGGCCCGCGUGCCGCCGUGCCGCCGUGCCGCCGCGCGCUCACCCGGCUGCCGUCGCCGAGCUGGAGUUGGAGCCCGUCAUCCGCGUGGGCGUGUUCGUCGUCGCGGCAGCCUCCCUCCCCCUCCUACCCCGCCGGCCCCCGGGCCCCGGGCCUGGCCCAUUCGACAAAGUGCAUCGUGGCCAAAUAAGUGAAAGUGUGACAGUAAAUGUGGAACGCAGUGCGUGCAUUUUGGCCUUGAAGUGAAGUGAAGUGAAGUGAAGUGAAGUGCAGUGUUAAAGUGAUCUCAAGCUGUGUGUGUCGCCUGCCCCUUCGUCUCCGUUGGACUCGUCGUCGCUGCUGCCGCUGCUGCCGCUGCUGCCGCUGCGCGCCGGACCAGUCGGACCAGGCUGGCUUGGCUGUCGACUCAUAGUAGGCCGUACUUCAACGCAUACCUUCAAAAUGGCACUCUCUGCGUCCCCCAAAACACAUUACAGCGAAACACAUUUCAACAUGAUAGGGAAUCUGACACAAGUCGUGGCGUUGAAGGGCAAGAACCGGAAGUCGCGCAGACAUGGGUAUGGGGCGACGGGGCGACGCGUCAACAACCUCAUCUUUUGCGAAGUCACUUGUGGCCCGUUUCGGUAAAUAUGGCCGAUUAGCGUUGAUAUAAUGUUCUGUUUGACGUCUUGCCUUUUAAAUCUGGAAGAGAUAUGAUCUGAAGAUCCACAGUCAGGUCAGUGAUCAAAUUGGUCCCAUUUCACUGAGAUGCGUUUGGCUUUGCCUUGUUAUUUUUGAUCACCCCAGAUAGUUGUUGUGAUCGGCAGGAUAUCAUCGGUACACGAGUGAAGACGCCCGACGCCCUCCUCAUCGUCGUCGUGUUCACCGUGCCGCCCAGCUCACCGCCACACUCUGCUCAUCCCUCCUUGCCCAAGCUCACCAUCAGCCUGCCCUGCUCAUCUCCAGCCAGCUCACAAUCAGCCUGCCCUGCUCAUCUCCGCCCAGCUCACCGUCGGCCUGCUCAACUCAUCUCCAGCCAGCUCACCAACAGCCUGCCCUGCUCAUCUCCAGCCAGCUCACCAUCAGCCUACUCUGUUCAUCUCCAGCCAGCUCACCGUCGGCCUGCCCUGCUCAUCCCCGUCCCGCUCACCGUCGGCCUGCUCAUCCCCGCCCCGCUGCUGCUGGAUUUCCGCGGGGCACACAGAUUGUUGCUGCCACAAAGGUAAGUUGGUUCCAGUAUGUAGUAGUCCCGUGAGCUGCUCCUUACACCCGCUUCUCUUUUGCAGGCCCAGUUCCAGCCGCUGUGCCCCGGCGGACAACUGAACCUCAGAGCGGCAGGAGAACCCCUCCAGACAACAGCUGCGGCCCGGCCACCGAGACGAUCGAGUUGCUGCACCACUCCGUUCGACUCACACACCCCGAGGACAUCAAGAAGGGUGUCACCACGGCUUCGCCUGCACCUUCUUGGUCACCAACAAGCAGUCUCCGUGUGUGCGAGGCGCUCCUGGUCGGUGCCAUGUCCGCGGUCCGCCGCAACUGCACGCCCCUCAGCCCCGCCCCGGACCGUUUGGAUUGCCCGGGACGCCUCGCCACGAGCCACUUUUCCAGUUCCAGGCCCGUUCCUGGCCCGUUCCAGUUCCGCCGUGGUCAGCAGGUAGUCCCCGCAGCCGGCGUGGACUACAGGACCUCCAGGACCUGCUGCUGCUGUCUGUACUGUCAUCCCGAGCAGCAGGAAAAAGGAAGAACUGGUGUGCAGCUUGCGUGCAGGUGGACUGUCAUAUGAGGAUGAGAAGAGGAUUGCCGCGGGGACCACAAGGGGCAGUAAGAAGAUGGCAUUUCAACAUUGCUGUACGACUAGAUGGAAGCCCUUCAACUUCAAUGACAAGACCAUCAUUUAACAUUUAUAUUUUUAAUCACUCACUCAUCUCUGUUCAUGUGUACUGACAAUAGACUAUCUCUUGACGAUGACUUCUUAUUUCUGCCUUGAUUGCUUGCAUUGUAGUUUAUUUAUAUGGUGUUGGUAAUUACAUGUUGGUUCCGUAUUGCCUGUUUGUUGUUCUUGUAAUUUUAUAUGGGGUGUAGGAAGUCUGUGAUCUUGUUUGUCUUGCAUUAUAGAGUUUAUUGUUUAUAUGGUGUUGGUUAUUACUUUUUGGUUGUAUUUUGCAUGAGCUCGUAAUUUUAUGGGAUCUAGGAGGUCUGAUCUUUCUUUAUGACUUGACACUAUUUUCUGAGUAUCUUAGUCAUCCUGUGCUCACCUGUAUCAUGCGUCAUUUAAUCAGAGUAAAGAGUUCAACUGUAAAAUUUACUGCUCUAAAUUGUAUUCUUACUUGUGAAUAGCUUCCACUAUUACAUCACAUGUGCUUGUAUGAAAUUGUUUUAUUGGUGUUCAGCAUUUUUCAAAUCAAUUCACUACUUGCUAUUCAGCAAUCAAUAUGCCAAUUAGGUCAAUCCUACUCUUAUGUUCUGGUGUAACUUCACAAGUGAUUGCUGUUGGUCCGUCUUUUGUGGUCCAUGUGCCACUGUUAAGCCAAACCUGUCAGCUUUUUGGUUUCCGUAAGAAUAGAAAUAAAAACAAUUAUAUGAAGGUA